ACAGCAGUCGCCACGGGAAUACCAGCACCUCGAGUGGUCAGGAGGUUUAUUGGGCCUAAAGCAUCCGUAGCCGGUUGCAUAAGUUUUCGGUUAAAUCUAUGCGCUUAACGUAUAGGCCGCCGAAAAUACUGUGCAGCUAGGGAGUGGGAGAGGUACACGGUACUCGAUAGGAAGGGGUAAAAUCCUUUGAUCUAUUGAUGACCACCUGUGGCGAAGGCGGUGUACCAGAACACGUUCGACGGUGAGGGAUGAAAGCUGGGGGAGCAAACCGGAUUAGAUACCCCUGUAGUCCCUGUCUCUUAUAC
rnacentral:rRNA from 1 species